CGGAAAGGUCCGCCCGCUGAGGGAUGAGGUCUGCGUCCGAUUAGGUUGUUGUUGGGGUAACGGCCCAACAAGCCUUUGAUCGGUACGGGUUGUGGGAGCAAGAGCCCGGAGAUGGAUUCUGAGACAUGAAUCCAGGCCCUACGGGGCGCAGCAGGCGCGAAAACUUUACAAUGCGAGCAAUCGUGAUAAGGAAACCCUGAGUGCCUGUCAAUGCAGGCUGUUCUGGUGUCUAACACACACCAGGAGAAAGGGCGGGGCAAGACCGGUGCCAGCCGCCGCGGUAAUACCGGCUGCUCGAGUGAUAGCCACUUUUACUGGGCUUAAAGCGUUCGUAGCUUGGUCGUUAAGUCUCUGGGGAAAUCUUUUGGCUCAACCAAAAGGCGUCUCAGGGAAACUGACGAUCUUGGAACCGGGAGAGGUAAGACGUACUUCGGGGGUAGGAGUGAAAUCUUGUAAUCCCCGAGGGACGACCGAUGGCGAAGGCAUCUUACCAGAACGGCUUCGACAGUGAGGGACGAAAGCUGGGGGAGCAAACCGGAUUAGAUACCCGGGUAGUCCCAGCCGUAAACGAUGUGCGUUAGGUGUGUCAGUGACCACGAGUCGCUGAGGUGCCGAAGGGAAACCGUGAAACGCACCGCCUGGGAAGUACGGUCGCAAGGCUGAAACUUAA
rnacentral:rRNA from 1 species